rnacentral:rRNA from 1 species
CUACGCACUCCUACGGGAGGCAGCAGUGGGGAAUAUUGCACAAUGGGCGCAAGCCUGAUGCAGCCAUGCCGCGUGUAUGAAGAAGGCCUUCGGGUGUAAAGACUUUCAGCAGUGAGGAAGGUGGGUAUGUUAAUAGCAUAUUCAUUUGACGUUAGCUGCAGAAGAAGCACCGGCUAACUCCGUGCCAGCAGCCGCGGUAAUACGGAGGGUGCGAGCGUUAAUCGGAAUUACUGGGCGUAAAGCGCAUGCAGGUGGUUUGUUAAGUCAGAUGUGAAAGCCCGGGGCUCAACCUCGGAAUUGCAUUUGAAACUGGCAAACUAGAGUACUGUAGAGGGGGUAGAAUUUCAGGUGUAGCGGUGAAAAUGCGUAGAGAUCUGAAGGAAUACCGGUGGCGAAGGCGGCCCCCUGGACAGAUACUGACACUCAGAUGCGAAAGCGUGGGGAGCAAACAGGAUUAGAUACCCUGGUAG